rnacentral:tRNA from 1 species
GCUUGCAUCGUCUAACGGUUAGGACGUAGGUCUCAUACUCACAGAGUAUGACCUGCUCAUCAGAGCAGGCUCUUCUACACAGGCAUCCUAAAAUCUGAGUUCGAUUCUCAGUGCGAGCA